rnacentral:rRNA from 1 species
AUACGGAGGGGGCUAGCGUUGUUCGGAAUUACUGGGCGUAAAGCGCGCGUAGGCGGAUUGAUCAGUCAGGGGUGAAAUCCCGAGGCUUAACCUCGGAACUGCCUUUGAUACUGUCAAUCUUGAGUUCGAGAGAGGUGAGUGGAAUUCCUAGUGUAGAGGUGAAAUUCGUAGAUAUUAGGAAGAACACCAGUGGCGAAGGCGGCUCACUGGCUCGAUACUGACGCUGAGGUGCGAAAGCGUGGGGAGCAAACAGGAUUAGAUACCCCAGUAGUCC